CAGCUUUAACGAACAUCUACUACGUACAUUAGGAUUCCAAAAUAUAUUGUACAUUUAGGCCUACUUCUAAAAGAAAAACGCGAAAAUUAUGUCUGUAUGUUACUUUUCUUUGUCCUUAUAACCGAGUUAAACCGUUCCGGAUCCCAAUUGGGAUGCUUUCAGCGCUUCCCUAGACCAAAUCUUGCUAAAAAAGGGAAGGGGGCGCAAAUGAAAUUGUUUUCACAACUAGUAAACGUUUGAGAAACACGGAUCUACAGUUUAUUAUGGAAUAUUAAGGUACAUUAUAGUUUGUAUAAUUGAGUACGCAUUUUAGCAUGUAGGCUAAAUGAUGUAUUUCAAUAAAUCUCAAAAGUGAUUCUCUUGGCAAAAACAUUAUCUAUAUAUAGCCUACCUUACCUAAAGACAUGCGAUAUUUUGUUCUCUUAGUUAAAACAGAAGUCAUAGCUAAUCAAUUUUUCGCCAAACAAAACUGUUAUAAGUGAAUCUGAAACACAAUAGAUGUCAGAACACAAACGGCUUUAAAAAAAUGACUGUUAUAGCCUUAUAGGCUACAGCAAGUCCUUUUUUUAUCACGAGAAACUUUAGCAUUUUGUAGAAGCGAAGUUUUAGAUUGUGACUAUAUAAUAGGCCUAUAUAUUGUAGAUAUUUUGAGCUAGGUAAUACACUCUAUAGUUAUUCUUAUUAUUUGAGCGCAAUGUAUUUAUGAUAUUACAAUUUUUGUUCCUAGAAUAAAAAAGGGGGGAGGGGGCGCCAAAAAAUGGCGUGUUACAGAUACACUGCCCGUUUUUAAACAGUUACUUCAAGAUAUCUAGUCAGGAUAGAGUCUGGCUUUAACAUCUUCAUUAUAGUGAUGUUUUUAUUUUAAAAACUCGAUUCUUUGACAGUAAAGUAUAUCUACUUCAGUUUACUGGAUAUCGACGAGCGGUACCUGUUGAAAAAGGUUUGAAAAGCACUGAUCUAGAUCUAGAUCUACUGGGUAAUAGUUGAAAGCAAUCGUAUAUUUACUAAAUUCUUUAUCACUUAGCCGAAAUUCGUAUCUAUAGUUUUGUAUAUAAAUAACAAAAUGGCGAGUGUUUUGCUUUCACACUCACAGCAUUCGCAGGUUGAAACUUUAAAGAGGCGUAAGAAACAAACUAAAAUUCUAAAAAAAUAAAUAAACUAAAAAAUUCUUUUGUCUGUUCGCGAACAUUUAUCUUUAUCGGAUGAAGCAACACGGUUUGUCUGUCGACUGCGAAAUUCUCAGCUGCAGCAACUCAAUAUUUGGUAUCAGGCUUUUCUGCCAGCAGUCUCUUCUUCCUCAAGAUGACAUUUCUGACGUGUUCCUUAGGAUGGUCAUGUUGGUUUUUGAUUAUGUCAUUAAGGAUGUGCUGUUGAGUGAAAAGACUACUACACAGUGGAAACUGGUUCAAGAACAGAUGACUAAUUAACAACAAUGAAAAGACAAAUCAGAAACAAGAGGAGAGGCAUUUACUACACAUGUGCAGUUUGUUUGGUUUUAUUUACAGUCAUUAUUUUAAGAUCCGCCAAACAGUCAAAGAUCUCAAAGUUGAGACUUAAAUCUCGAAUGGAUUCUUAUUUUUCAGUUGAUUGUGUCUAACACAAAUAAGAUGGAACUGAAGCAUCCCACAUGCACAAUAGCAAUAAUGAGAACUAUGAGAGAGGAUAUGAAUUGUGGCUUAUGGUUAAAGCCAAAAAGAGAAAUCAAAAUAUUAAAUUGUAUGGCCUUACUUGGGCAUUUUCUGGUUGGAUUGGUCAAGGCACACAUAAUCCUUAUACAAAUGUUUCUCUGACAGCUUACAUUGUUCGAUGGAUUACUGGAGCUAAAAGAAGGCAUAAUUUAACAAUAGUCUACAUUGGGCUGCCAUUAUCCAAGCACAUAUGAUUCUCCGGAGGCUUACAUCACUGGAAAAAGUCUUUCGGCUUCUGAAGAUUACAGUACAUGUAAUGCUGCAAAUGGAGGAGGAUGCUGGGCCAGGUAAACACUCUAUAACAUAAUGACAUAGUGAAUGAAAUAAAAUUGUAUUGUAAUUUUAGUCUAAAAUAGUGAGAUAUAUAUAUAUAUAUAUAUAUAAGUAUACAGUAUAAGCCAGUUCCUGAAUUAGCUUGUUACAAUGCACAUUGGCCAAGAAAUACAGCCAAAGUUUAAAAUUCUGGAUAAAGUCAUCUCUAUUUUACUUUGGCUAGCUAUUUUCUGUAUAGGCAAAAGAUUGGCAGCAAUUCUCUCUGCAAAUGAUGAUGUGCUGAUUCAUAAUAGAACAUUUGACAUUUUUAAUCAUGGGUGGUUGAGGGGGGGGGUGCUAAGUGGUUAAGUGCGGUUGCUUUAGAGCUAAGGGUUUUCAGGUUCAAAUCUUGUUGAAGAUUGUUUUUGAAUUUCAGGAUUUUAGAAUGCCUUGGGUCAGUGCAAUUCUAAUGGGUAUCUGACAUUAGUUGGGGAAAGUAAAGAAGGUUGGUCGUUGUGCUGGCCAUAUGAUACCUUUAUAACAGUAGGCCACAGAAACAGAUGACAUUUACAUCAUCUGCCAUAUAGAUUGAAAAUUCUAAAAGGCAUUCUUUUUACAUUUUAAUCCCUAACUAUUCUAAAAAUUCUAACCAUUUUUUCAUUCAAAGACAUUUUUUCUUUUCUGAGCAACUAAAUUGAUGAUCAUGUUAAAUCAACAUUUGAUUUUUAAAAAAUAAUUUCUGAUUUACUUUGAUGCAAGAAAAAGCUAAUAUUAUAAGCAUUACUCACCAUAGUCAAAUUAUGCACUUUUAUAAAGUAUGCUAAGUAGGCUUAGCAAAGCAUAAAAAAAAAGAAUAUUUGCUAUUGACCUUUUCGAAAAUUAAAACAAAAAAAAAAUUUUGUGCCAAGAUCAUUAUACUAUAGCUUUUUAUUGUAUUGCAUGCCACCUAAAAAAAGUUUGACAUUCUGCAUGAUAUCUACUGAGGUCAAUGAAAUAUGGAAAAGGAGCUACAAACUAAGUACAUUAAUGAAACCAAAAAAAAAAAAGAAUUAGAAGAUAACUACCAUGUCAGACAAAAACUGUCUAAUUUUAAGAAAGGCCUAACUUCUAACUAUGACCAAUUGUGACAAAGAAUACAUUUUAUUACUUAAUUAUCAGAAAGAAUGUCAAAUUAGGUAGGAGGUGUGGUGGCCGAGUGGUAAAGUUGUUAGCUUCUGAACCAGGGGUUUCAGGUUUGAAUUCUGGUGAAGACUGGGAUUUUUACUUUCUGUAAUGUCUUAGUGUCAAUGAUUAGAUUGACCAUGGUAAUGACUUAUGUCAAUAAAAACAUUGAAAAUGGUAAUGAGUUAGUGUCAAUGAUUACAUUGAGAAUGGUAAUGACUUAGUGUUAUUGAUUGGAUUGAGAAUGGUAAUGACUUAAUUUCAAUAAAAACAACAAAAAUG